rnacentral:rRNA from 1 species
GACGAACCACACAAACGUUAUUCGGGAUUACUGGGCUUAAAGGGUGCGUAGGCUGUGCGGAAAGUUAGGUGUGAAAUCCCCCGGCUCAACCGGGGAAUUGCGCUUAAAACUACCGUGCUAGAGGAAUACAGAGGUGAGCGGAACUUCGGGUGGAGCGGUGAAAUGCGUUGAUAUCCGAAGGAACACCGGUGGCGAAAGCGGCUCACUGGGUAUUUUCUGACGCUGAUGCACGAAAGCUAGGGGAGCAAACGGG